rnacentral:rRNA from 1 species
UGAGUAACGCGUAUCCAACCUCCCUUAGUAGGGCAUAGCCCGUAGAAUGCGGAUUAAUACCCUAUGUUAUUCGUCGAUGACAUCUGAAGUGAAUCAAAGGUUUACCGCUAAGGGAUGGGGAUGCGUCUGAUUAGGGCAGCAGGCGGGGUAACGGCCCACCUGGCCGACGAUCAGUAGGGGUUCUGAGAGGAAGGUCCCCCCACAUUGGAACUGAGACACGGUCCAAACUCCUACGGGAGGCAGCAGUGAGGAAUAUUGGUCAAUGGGUCGAGAGACUGAACCAGCCAAGUAGCGUUGCAGGAUGACGGCCCUAUGGGUUGUAAACUGCUUUUAUGCGGGGAUAAAGUGACGUACGUGUACGUUUUUGUAGGUACCGCAUGAAUAAGGACCGGCUAAUUCCGUGCCAGCAGCCGC